rnacentral:rRNA from 1 species
UACGUAGGGGGCAAGCGUUGUCCGGAUUUAUUGGGCGUAAAGAGCUCGUAGGCGGUUGGGCAAGUCACGUGUGAAAUCUCCACGCUCAACGUGGAGGCGCCACGUGAGACUGCCCUGACUCGAGUCCGGUAGGGGAGCGUGGAAUUCCCGGUGUAGCGGUGAAAUGCGCAGAGAUCGGGAGGAACACCCGUAGCGAAGGCGGCGCUCUGGACUGCAACUGACACUGAUGAACGAAAGCCAGGGGAGCAAACGGG